rnacentral:rRNA from 1 species
UACGAAGGGGGCUAGCGUUGCUCGGAAUUACUGGGCGUAAAGCGCACGUAGGCGGCUCUUUAAGUCGGAGGUGAAAUCCUGGAGCUCAACUCCAGAACUGCCUUCGAUACUGUAGAGCUUGAGUCCGGGAGAGGUGAGUGGAACUGCGAGUGUAGAGGUGAAAUUCGUAGAUAUUCGCAAGAACACCAGUGGCGAAGGCGGCUCACUGGCCCGGUACUGACGCUGAGGCACGAAAGCGUGGGGAGCAAACAGG